AUCCCCUCGCCCUCGCCCUCGCACCCUAUCCCCUGGUCCUCGCGCUCAAUCCACGUCCCUGCCGCCGUCGCCGCCGUAUUCGCACCUGCACCCACGGUCCUGUUGCCGGCCGCCGUCCUCGUGCUCCGCCCGAGAUCCAGCCGCCAUCCUCGCGCCUCGCCCGAGAUCCAGCCGCCGUCCGCUCCGCCUAUGAUCUAGCCGCCGUCUUCGCGCUCAUCCCCGACCUCCAGCCCCCAACCUCGCGAAGGUAGUCGGUAGAGAUCCAUCCACGAGCUCUUCAUCCCGCUGCGCCCCUCGCGAAGGCAGCCGUCCGUUGCUGCAGAUCUCCGCACAACACUCGUUUUUCCAAUAGGAGCGGGUGUACAUGAUGGUGAGCUUGCAGACAGUGAGUAUGCGGUACUACCUGGCAACAAGGCUGAGGAGGUGGGGAGCGGAGGGCGCCGAGGUGGACCCUGAGUCUACUCAGUGUUUAAGGAGGCACAUUCCAAUUUUAUUCUGCAUCAUCUACACUAGAUAUUUAUGGAUAACAGUGUCUUUGAUAUAAAUUUUUUAUGUGAGAACGGUGUUGUUUUCCUUCUGCAUGAAUAUGGCAUUAGCAUUCAAACCUUAGGCUCAACAUAUACUCUCAUCUUCCUCUACAUCCACAUACCUUCAACUACUUGAAGUUGCAUACUGUUUCCAGAGGGGAAAAUUGCAAGUUCCGAUCACAUUCAAACAUUAGGGGCACCUUCUCAUAGUGCCUCACACCGUAUUGUUUGGACAUGUGAAUUCCAACUGUAGAGUCAACCGCCUCGAUGCAGUGGCUAGAUAGUCUCAGGAUUCAGACUUUCAAUACUUUUAUGAGAUGUUCGUGUUCACGCUGGUUGCUGGCAUAAUAUUUGUUCUUUUGACAAGUUCAUUCAGUAUACUAACCAAGUACAUAACUUGCAGACCUUUGGCCUUUACUUUAUGAUUUGAUUUGGGAAGCCGAGUUAUCUAUAUUGAACACAUUUUUUUGAAGGAUGGUUGAUACAUGUCUACACAUUUUGUCAGAGCAAUUUGCGGUGAAAGAAGCAGCCUCAAACUGAUAAGAAGGCAACAUUUAUUUCUAUGAAGUAACGGUUAUUGUUGUAGAUCAAGGAUGACAAGAAAGCAACUAAUGUACCAGGAGGUACAGAGUAUUUUCAGGUAAUCAGCAACCUAGUACGCAUGUAUGUGAUGACUUUGAAGUGUUAUGGAGCAUUUGGAUGUCUGCAGUAUUUUGGACCAGCCAACUCAAUUGUAAUCAUGAAUCGUGUUACGGACCAUUUGCUGCUUAAGUGUUAUGUAGUAGAAAUCUUGUGCUCAUGGAUGUGUGUUUUGGACCAUUUAGUGUUUGAACUAUAUAUUUUAGAGGAGCAAAUAGGGGUCCUUUUAUAUGACUUAUGUUUUCUAGAUGGUUGCCAAGAUGGCCAAAC